GACGAACGCUGGCGGCGUGCUUAACACAUGCAAGUCGAGCGGUAAGGCCCUUCGGGUACACGAGCGGCGAACGGGUGAGUAACACGUGGGUGACCUGCCUCUAGCUCUGGGAUAAGCCUGGGAAACUGGGUCUAAUACCGGAUAUGACUCCACGGCGCAUGUUGUGGGGUGGAAAGCCUUGUGCGGCUAGAGAUGGGCCCGCGGCCUAUCAGCUUGUUGGUGGGGUGAUGGCCUACCAAGGCGACGACGGGUAGCCGGCCUGAGAGGGCGACCGGCCACACUGGGACUGAGACACGGCCCAGACUCCUACGGGAGGCAGCAGUGGGGAAUCUUGCGCAAUGGGCGAAAGCCUGACGCAGCG
rnacentral:rRNA from 1 species